GCGAAGAGAAAACGCGUGAUUUUCGCUUAAAUGGGGGAUUCUCGAAGAGAAAACGCAUGAUUUUUGGGUUAAAUGGGGGAUUCUCGAAGAGAAAACGCGUUAUUUUCGGCUUAAAUGGGGGAUUUGCGAAGAGAAAACGCAUGAUUUUCGCUUAAAUGGGGGAUUUGCGAAGAGAAAACGCGUGAUUUUCGCUUAAAUGGGGGAUUUGCGAAGAGAAAACGCGUGAUUUUUGCUUAAAUGGGGGAUUCUCGAAGAGAAAACGCGUGUUUUUCGGGUUCAAUGGGGGAUUCUCGAAGAGAAAACGCGUGAUUUUCGGGUUAAAUGGGGGAUUUGCGAAGAGAAAACGCGUGAUUUUCACUUAAAUGGGGGAUUCUCGAAGAGAAAACGCGUGAUUUUCGCUUAAAUGGGGGAUUUGCGAAGAGAAAACGCGUGAUUUUUGCUUAAAUGGGGGAUUUGUGAAGAGAAAACGCGUGAUUUUCGCUUAAAUGGGGGAUUUGCGAAGAGAAAACGCGUGAUUUUUGCUUAAAUGGGGGAUUUGCGACGAGAAAACGCGUGAUUUUCGGGUUAAAUGGGGGAUUUGCAAAGAGAAAACGCUUGAUUUUCGGGUUAAAUGGGGGAUUUGCGAAGAGAAAACGCGUGAUUUUCGGGUUAAAUGGGGGAUUUGCGAAGAGAAAACGCGUGAUGUUCGCUUAAAUGGGGGAUUUGCGAAGAGAAAACGCGUGAUUUUCGCUUAAAUGGGGGAUUUGCGAAGAGAAAACGCGUGAUUUUUCGCUUAAAUGGGGGAUUUGCGAAGAGAAAACGCGUGAUUUUCGGGUUAAAUGGGGGAUUUGCGAAGAGAAAACGCGUGAUUUUCGCUUAAAUGGGAGAUUUGCAAAGAGAAAAUGCGUGAUUUUCCCUUAAAUGGAAAAUUCUCGAAGAGAAAACGCGUGAUUUUUGCUUAAAUGGGGGAUUUGCGAAGAGAAAAUGCGUGAUUUUUAAGUUAAAGUGGGGAUUCUAAAGAGGAAACGCGUGAUUUUCGGGUUAAAUGGGGGAUUUGCGAAGAGAAAACGCGUGAUUUUCGCUUAAAUGGGGGAUUCUCGAAGAGAAAACGCAUGAUUUUUGGGUUAAAUGGGGGAUUCUCGAAGAGAAAACGCGUUAUUUUCGGCUUAAAUGGGGGAUUUGCGAAGAGAAAACGCAUGAUUUUCGCUUAAAUGGGGGAUUUGCGAAGAGAAAACGCGUGAUUUUCGGUUAAAUGGGGGAUUUGCGAAGAGAAAACGCGUGAUUUUUGCUUAAAUGGGGGAUUUGCGAAGAGAAAACGUGUGUUUUUCGGGUUCAAUGGGGGAUUCUCGAAGAGAAAACGCGUGAUUUUCGGUUAAAUGGGGGAUUUGCGAAGAGAAAACGCGUGAUUUUCACUUAAAUGGGGGAUUCUCGAAGAGAAAACGCGUGAUUUUCGGGUUAAAUGGGGGAUUUGCGAAGAGAAAACGCGUGAUUUUUGCUUAAAUGGGGGAUUUGUGAAGAGAAAACGUGUGAUUUUCGCUUAAAUGGGGGAUUUGCGAAGAGAAAACGCGUGAUUUUCGGGUUAAAUGGGGGAUUUGCGAAGAGAAAACGCUUGAUUUUCAAGUUAAAUGGGGGAUUUACGAAGAGAAAACGCGUGAUUUUCGCUUAAAUGGGGGAUUCUCGAAGAGAAAACACGUGAUUUUUGCUUAAAUGGGGAAUUUGCAAAGAGAAAACGCGUGAUUUUCGGUUAAAUGGGGGAUUCUCGAAGAGAAAAUGCGUGAUUUUUGGCUUAAAUGGGGGAUUUGCGAAGAGAAAACGCGUGGUUUUCGGGUUAAAUGGGGGAUUUGUGAAGAGAAAACGCGUGAUUUUUGGCUUAAAUGGGGGAUUUGCGAAGAGAAAACGCGUGAUUUUCGCUUAAAUGGGGGAUUUGCGAAGAGAAAAACGCGUGAUUUUCGCUUAAAUGGGGGAUUCUCGAAGAGAAAACGCGUGAUUUUCGCUUAAAUGGGGGAUUUGCGAAGAGAAAACAGCGUGAUUUUCGGCUUAAAUGGGGGAUUUGCGAAGAGGAAAACGCUGAUUUUCGGGUUAAAUGGAAGAUUCUCCAAGAGAAAACGCAUGAUUUUCGGGUUAAAUGGCGGAUUUGCGAGGAGGAUAUGCGUGAUUUUCGAGUUAAAUGGGGGAUUUGCGAAGAGAAAACACGUCAUUUUCGAGUUAAAUGGGGGAUUUGCGAAGAGAAAACGCGUCAUUUUCGAGUUAAAUGGGGGAUUUGCAAAGAGAAAAUGCGUCAUUUUCGAGUUAAAUGGGGGAUUUGCGAAGAGAAAACGCGUGAUUUUCGCUUAAAUGGGGGAUUCUUGAAGAGAAAACGAGUGAUUUUCGGGUUAAAUGGAAGAUUUCUGAAGAGAAAGCGUAUGAUAUUCGGGUUAAAUGAGGGAUUCUUGAAGAGAAAAUGAGUGAUUUUCGGGUUAAAUGGGGGAUUCUCGAAGAGAAAACGCGUGAUUUUCGCUUAAAUGGGGGAUUUGCGAAGAGAAAACGCGUGAUUUUCGCUUAAAUGGGGGAUUUGCGAAGAGAAAACGCGUGAUUUUCGCUUAAAUGGGGGAUUUGCGAAGAGAAAACGCGUGAUUUUCGGGUUAAAUGGGGGAUUUGCGAAGAGAAAACGCGUGAUUUUCGGCUUAAAUGGGGGAUUUGCGAAGAGAAAACGCGUGAUUUUCGCUUAAAUGGGGGAUUUGCGAAGAGAAAACGCGUGAUUUUCGGCUUAAAUGGGGGAUUUGCGAAGAGAAAACGCGUGAUUUUCGCUUAAAUGGGGGAUUUGCGAAGAGAAAACGCGUGAUUUUCGGUUAAAUGGGGGAUUUGCGAAGAGAAAAACGCGUGAUUUUCGCUUAAAUGGGGGAUUUGCGAAGAGAAAACGCGUGAUUUUCGGUUAAAUGGGGGAUUUGCGAAGAGAAAACGCGUGAUUUUCGCUUAAAUGGGGGAUUUGCGAAGAGAAAACGCAUGAUUUUUGGUUAAAUGGGGGAUUUCCGAAGAGAAAAUGCGUGAUUUUCGGUUAAAUGGGGGAUUUGCGAAGAGAAAACGCGUGAUUUUCGCUUCAAUGGGGGAUUCUUGAAGAGAAAACGAGUGAUUUUCGAGUUAAAAGCGGGAUUCUCGAAAAGAAAAUGCAUGAUUUUCGCUUAAAUGGGCAAUUUCCAAAGAGAAGACGCGUGAUUUUUGGUUAAAUGGGGAUUCUCGAAGAGAAAACGAGUGAUUUUCGGUUAAAUGGGGGAUUCUCGAAGAGAAAAUGCGUGAUUUUCUGUUAAAUGGGGGAUUUGCGAAGAGAAAACGCGUGAUUUUCGCUUAAAUGGGGGAUUUGCAAAGAGAAAACGCGUCAUUUUCGAGUUAAAUGGGGGAUUUGCGCAGAGGAAUACU
ensembl:lncRNA